CGCUGGCGGCGCGUCUACACAUGCAAGAUCAGAGCGAGAACCGAGCCUUCGGGCUCGGGGACAGCGGCGAUUGGCCGAGUAACACGUGAGUAAUCCACCCUUGGCACCGGAAUAGCCCGGGGAGACCCGGAUUAAUACCGGAUGGCCCAGCAGCUCUUCGGGGCGGCUGGAAAAGGUAGCUUCGGCCUCCGACCAGGGACGGGCCCGCGGCGGAUUAGCUUGUUGGUGGGGUAACGGCUCACCAAGGCGACGAUCCGUAGCUGGUCUGAGAGGACGAUCAGCCACACUGGGACUGAGACACGGCCCAGACUCCUACGGGAGGCAGCAGUGG
rnacentral:rRNA from 1 species